rnacentral:rRNA from 1 species
AUUGAACGCUGGCGGCAUGCCUUACACAUGCAAGUCGAACGGUAACGCGGGGCAACCUGGCGACGAGUGGCGAACGGGUGAGUAAUGCAUCGGAACGUGCCCAGUAGUGGGGGAUAGCCCGGCGAAAGCCGGAUUAAUACCGCAUACGACCUAUGGGUGAAAGCGGGGGACCGUAAGGCCUCGCGCUAUUGGAGCGGCCGAUGUCAGAUUAGGUUGUUGGUGGGGUAAAGGCCUACCAAGCCGACGAUCUGUAGCUGGUCUGAGAGGACGACCAGCCACACGUGGACGGAGACACGGCCGAGACUCCUACGGGAGGCAGCAGUGGGGAAUUUUGGACAAUGGGCGCAAGCCUGAUCCAGCCAUGCCGCGUGCGGGAAGAAGGCCUUCGGGUUGUAAACCGCUUUUGUCAGGGAAGAAACGCUCUGGGCUAAUACCCCGGGGUAAUGACGGUACCUGAAGAAUAAGCACCGGCUAACUACGUGCCAGCCGCCGCCGUAACAC